rnacentral:rRNA from 1 species
UACGUAGGGUGCGAGCGUUGUCCGGAGUUACUGGGCGUAAAGAGCUCGUAGGUGGUUUGUCGCGUUGUUCGUGAAAACCUGAGGCUUAACCUUGGGCGUGCGGGCGAUACGGGCAGACUGGAGUACUGCAGGGGAGACUGGAAUUCCUGGUGUAGCGGUGGAAUGCGCAGAUAUCAGGAAGAACACCUAUGGCGAAGGCAGCUCUCUGGGACGGUACUGACGCUGAGACGCGAAAGCGUGGGGAGCGAACAGG